AAAAUGUUGCUUGGCUUUGAAAUCACAUUUUAAAAUCACUUGAAAAUUAAUUAAAAAUAUAAAUUCACAGUCAUUACCAAUUAGAAAUUACUUAGACUAACUCUAAUUAGUGGUCAUUAUUUUUGACUGAAUAAACGAGUUUCAUAAAGCGCUCCGGACAAGUGCAUCAUUACAGAAUUUAAAAACUGGGCUUUAAUACAGGAAAUAUUAAUCAGAAAGGCUGCUUUUAAUUUAUCAUGUAACUAGUGUGUUCUCACUUGGAAAGAUUAGAUUUUUAUCAGUAAAUGUUGGUAAAUGUCAAUAAAUUAAAAAAAUCAGAAACAUCCUUUGCAAGAUGUAUGCGUAGUGCAAGCCACACAGUAAGUCUGACAGAAGUAAUCAGAAAUCUGGUAUUCAGCAAAGGCAGACAGAUGUACAAUUCUGCUCUUCAUGUCAACAGAUCAUUCUAAAUAAUGAUUUUAUUUCUAAUGAGCGUGCGGUCCUUCACAUCCUUUAGAACUGUCUCACUUUCUCCCUCAAUUUAUAACUACAGUACUUUCUUUACACUCAAUGUUCUACAUCAGAUGAGCCUUAUAGAAGAUGUACUGUUAGAUGCCACUUUCUUCCUCAGAAGUGGCCACACUUCAGUGGUAGAUGAAGUUGUCCUUACGUAUCCAUUAUCUGCUUCAUAAGGGUGUGGCUAAUCAUUUUGAGAACCAGAUGAAACUCAUUACAUAUGUAGAGCCCAGUUUCCCCCUUUCCCCUCUGACAUUCCCUGCCAUGAUGAUCCAGUGGUUAGGGCACUAGCCGAAGAACUGGGAGACCUGGGUUCAAUUUCCUGCUAUACCAUGGAUGCCCUGUGUGACCAUGACAAAUCAUUUAGCGUCUCUAUUCCUCAGUUCUCAAUUUGUAAAUGAGGAUACAAUUAUUUCCCUACUGUACUUGGGGGUUGUGAGGAUAAAUAUAUUAAAGUCUGUGAGGUGCUGAGCUACUACAGUGAUGGGGGUUGCACAAAUACAAUAAUUAGACCUACGCCAGGGAUUUUAUCAGUCCUCUGGGGGGACAGAAGGGAAGGAAACCAGUGGUUAGUUGAGCAUAAGCAAAUAAGCAAGCUUGGAUUUAAGGUUUAGUUAGAGGUGGGGAAGUCUACUGCCUCCAAGCUGUUGAUAAAACUGCUCCCAGAUAAUGCUGCAAAUCCCAGGCCAGAUUAAUUAGUGUAAGUGGCUACACUAAUGAAUGUUUGUUUCAAGGUUUUUAUUUUUUUCAGUUGGUAUCUUUAAGUUGCAGUGCUAUUAUUUUCUAACUUUGUUUCUCUAUUUUUGUAAAUAAAAGAGCCAAAGGAAUCUAUUCUUGCAGGGUUCCAUUUAUAUUUUAUGUUUAGUGUUUAAUAUUUCAUUUAAAAACAAUAACAGAAUAUUAUUUGUGUUCAGCAUCCUAUUUAGUUUUUCUGAUGUUUCCCCAGCACCAAAUAAAGCUAAAACGUGCUAAAAAUACAUUUAUACUGUUCUUGGGCCAAAUGAAAAGGAGAGAAUGGAUGUUCUCUGAGGAAAUGCCUGGAUUAAACCAAGAAAGAAGAACACGAGUAAACAGUCAUCCAGCAGGAUGGUGAGAUAAAAAGGUGAGGAAAAGCAAUAGGGAACAUCCUUCCCCAUAGGAUUUCUCCUGAAUCUUAGCUGAAAACGUUUUUCAAGAGGGGGACUGAAACUAUAAAAAGGAGAGAUGAACACCCUGAGAUUUCCCCCCCUGCCCCACUUGCAUUCACAGAACCUGAAGCAUUCAUUGGAUUUUGGGAGAAGCGGUCCUGAUCUAAGAAGUAUGGUCAAUAAGACUGCUAAAAGCAUGUGAGAAAACGUUGCUUUGACUUUAUCAUAGUUUGUUAAGUUAGGCAGCAGUUGUGUUUUAUCUUUAUUUUCUUGUAACUGUUUCUAACUUUUAUUCCCUGUUACUUGUACUCACUUAAAAUCUCUCUGUAGUUAAUAAACUAUUUUAUUUUAUCUAA